GGACAUUUUCAUGUACCUCCCGGAUCCUGGUGUGACAUGCAGUUUGUCAUCAGCCCAUACUACUCGUCCUCGUGAAAUCGUCACUUCCACUUUUCCCUUCCCUGUCCUCCCUUCGUACACAUUUGUGUCAGUUCUUGAAUGGUGGGAAGCAGCAGUUAUUUUGAAGGUUGCAUUAGGGUUCAGUAUAAUUAUAUCAGCAUCAGAUCCUUCUAGGAUUGCUCCUUUACUUGGGUAAAUGUU
rnacentral:misc_RNA from 1 species